rnacentral:snRNA from 1 species
AUCGCUUCUCGGCCUUUUGGCUAAGAUCAAGUGUAGUCUCUGUUCUUAUCAGUUUAAUAGUACAAGUAUUGAAAUGGGGUAUCACAAACUGGUGGACCUCAAUACUUCUAAUUCUCCAGAGGCCCCGCCUCUACUUUUA